CCGGGAUUUAUCAAUCUCAGCUUAGCAAAUGUCUUAAGUCAAAAAAGUUAAGAAGUAGCUAAGCAAAAAUCUUAAGCUGAUUUAUCAAACCGUCUUAGCAAAAUCUUAGCAAAAAUAUCAUCUUAGAUGGCGCAUGCGUACAAUCGACUUCUUGUAGCUUAUAGAGGGCAGCAAAUUUUGUCUUAAGUCGAAAAAUAUUUGCUUACGCAUGCGUAAAAGCCAUUUUUGUGAUUUCAACCGGAAGUGAACUGUCAAAGGUUACGAGAGAUACAGUAAACAAACCAUGUGAGAAAAUUGUGUGCUCGCCAUGCUGGAUGUUCGCUAGUGAAGAUUUUAUCGUUAUUCUUUCUUAUCUUAAUGUUUUAUAUGGAUGGUAAGACGUCUACCAUCACUGUCAGUUUAAUUUGGAUGAACUACAUACAGCUGUGAAAAGCUUGUGGCAUUAAAGGACUUUUACGAUUGAGAGUGCUGGCAGAGAGAAGAGGCGGCCAACAACGAGCAAGGCUAGAGAAAGGCCUGGCCUAGUCUAGUAGAGUGGUCUAGCUAGGCUAGAGCCUUAGCGAGAAAGCUUAGUUUGGCCUACUAGCUAGGCUAGGGGGCCUAGGCUACACAGCUAAUAUAGACCAUAAAAUCAGACGAGGGAACCGAAACAUCUAGGCCUACGACAACUACUAAUUUUUAAAAUGACAAUUGUUUUUGACUUGAGAGAGAUUUCCAGAAAUUUACCCAUGAUGUGUCUACAAUGCAGCAAAAUGGAUUAAAGUCAAUUGCAGCAAAACCAGGUUGUGAAAUGCAGUGGGCAAAGCUGAACUACUAUAAGUUCAGUACCUGUAAUAGCCAAUUCAUAGAGCAUUAUAGAAGCUUUCAGACCUACUGCAGAAUUCAAAACCAACACCUCAGACCCAGGGGCUAGUGACGUCCUCUUCCGCCAGCUUGAAGGAUUCAACCAUAUUUAAGUAUUCGAAGGAGCUCACUAUCCAAUAAUUAUUUGUUCAAAGCGCUGACGACAUCCAAAAAAAAUGCUUAUGAUACCAAUGAUAUUUGCAUGGUGUAAAGUAAUAAUAUACAUUUUAUAUAUUAGGUAAAUCACAAGAUUAAUUUCUCACAUU
rnacentral:lncRNA from 1 species